UGGGGAAUUUUGGACAAUGGGCGAAAGCCCGAUCCAGCCAUGCCGCGUGAGUGAAGAAGGCCUUCGGGUUGUAAAGCUCUUUCAGACGGAAAGAAAUCUCUCAGGAUAAUACCUUGGGAGGAUGACGGUACCGUAAGAAGAAGCACCGGCUAACUACGUGCCAGCAGCCGCGGUAAUACGUAGGGUGCGAGCGUUAAUCGGAAUUACUGGGCGUAAAGCGUGGGCAGGCGGUGAUGUAAGACAGAUGUGAAAUCCCCGGGCUCAACCUGGGAACUGCGUUUGUGACUGCAUCACUCGAGGACGGCAGGGGGAGGUGGAAUUCCGCGUGUAGCAGUGAAAUGCGUAGAUAUGCGGAGGAACACCGAUGGCGAAGGCAAUCCCCUGGGCCUGUACUGACGCUCAUGCACGAAAGCGUGGGGAGCAAACA
rnacentral:rRNA from 1 species